rnacentral:tRNA from 1 species
GAAGGUAUAGCUCAAGUGGUAGAGCGCCCGCUUAGCAUACACAAGGUCCUGGGUUCAAUCCCCAGUACCUCCU